UUUUGAGGAGAUAAUGUAGGUAAUCUACGUUGUAUACCUACACCUGCAGGUAUGCCACAGAGCCACACAUACCAAUCUUCCCGGGACAUCACUAGUUGCAUGUAGCAUUUUCGGGAGGCAUCGGACCCACCCUGUCAGACACGGCUCGUUAGCCGCUUGGACGAUCGAGUCGGACACACCCAUCAUCUCCAGAUGAGGCCAAGAUAGUGCCUGUUAAGUUCCAGCAGACGCGCCACACUGUGGAGCCGUGGUCGUCAAAUUGUCCUGCUUGACGCACCUCAAAUAUUGACAAACUGCUCUGGUUCUGUGUUGAGUCUUCUCUGAAAAGAACAGAGAAAGAUAGAGUAUACUGUAUCAAUAUAACACUUCAAUUGAACUACAAUACACAACUGGGAAAGGAGUUACCAAUAAUGCUGGCAAACUACCAUACCACCCAAACUAACGGCAGGGUAGUAAACCAUAUCAGCAUGGGUAGGUCUGGCGGCUCACCAGGCAGUCUUACCUGUCUGUCCAUACAGAGAUGUCUGUCCCGAGCUCUUGCCUCUGUACAGUACUGAUACUCUUUCAGUAAACUCCAAUGAACUAA